GAACGCCGUGUAAUGUGAAAGCAUUAUGCACGGUGUGAAUGGGGGGAAAAGUUGGAGAUAAUAUCAAAGACUUACCUAUCCAUAC
rnacentral:ncRNA from 2 species